rnacentral:rRNA from 1 species
GACGAACGCUGGCGGCGUGCCUAAUACAUGCAAGUCGAACGCACAGUUUAUACCGUAGCUUGCUACACCAUAGACUGUGAGUUGCGAACGGGUGAGUAACGCGUAGGUAACCUGCCUGGUAGCGGGGGAUAACUAUUGGAAACGAUAGCUAAUACCGCAUAAUAUUAAUUAUUGCAUGAUAAUUAAUUGAAAGGUGCAAUUGCACCACUACCAGAUGGACCUGCGUUGUAUUAGCUAGAAGGUGAGGUAACGGCUCACCUAGGCGACGAUACAUAGCCGACCUGAGAGGGUGAUCGGCCACACUGGGACUGAGACACGGCCCAGACUCCUACGGGAGGCAGCAGUAGGGAAUCUUCGGCAAUGGACGAAAGUCUGACCGAGCAACGCCGCGUGAGUGAAGAAGGUUUUCGGAUCGUAAAGCUCUGUUGUAAGAGAAGAACGGGUGUGAGAGUGGAAAGUUCACACUGUGACGGUAUCUUACCAGAAAGGGACGGCUAACUACGUG